UAGCCCGGUCGUCCGUCUUCCCCGUCUCUCCCAAUCCGCCGCCGCUUCCUCCCUUGUCCCCGUCUCUCCAAUCUUUUCUCUCUCUCUCACCCCGUCGCUUCCGCCGUCUGCAGAUUGAGUGUUUCCAGAAUUCUUCGUCCGCCGUCCCUCCCCGCACCCACGCACGCGGACACCUAUCUUCGUCGCUCGCCUGGUUCUUGUACGAUUCAGGGCGGAGCAGGGGAUCAAUUGAUGUAAGGUUCUGCUUCCAAUCCAUCCAGGCCGCCGGCCAGUCCACCGAGGGGAGAGUCCAGAUUGUCAACGCACAACCCUAGACGCCGCGCGCGUACCAUCUCCGCCGCCUCGCCCAGUUCUUGCUCGCCUCAGCUCGCGGGGAUGGAGCAGGACGGCGCCGCCCGUCCCCUCGCGCCAGGCCUAGGACGACGGCGGCGUGGACGGCUGGGCUCACGACGGCACGGAGGCCUCCCCUACGGCGCCCCGGCGGAGUGCCCCGAGGCCGUAGAUCAUCCUCCUUGCCGCCGCCUCCGCGGCCACGUCUCAGCGGCCGCCUCCGCGCAGCCGCGCUCGUGCGCGACCCUCAACUACGACUCGGUGGGUAGGACCCCUGCGACGACCUCGCCUAUUCCGGCGACCACAACCACCGCGUCCGCAAGAAAGUCGCAUGGAUUGGGGAUAUGUACCUCGGUUUGGGUUUAAAGGGGCAAUCUUUGAGCAUUUGUAUAUCAACUAUUGAGGAUCUCAAGUUCACAUGGAUCGCACUAUGAUCAAGUGCAUUCUGGUGCUAUGAUGAUUGUAACAGAAGAUGUUAGCGGCAGAAGCAAUCGCUAUGUAUCAGCUCCAAUAUUAAAAUCAGUGCAUGACACAAUUUUUCUCAUCUGGAACUGCGCUUAGAAGGUGUUUGGUCUGAAAGCUACGCUCCUGAAUACAAUGUGAUAUAAAAGGUUCAUGAAAUCAUCAGGAUUUGGACCUCCAUAGGAAAUCUGCAAGGGGAACAACAACAAAGGAAACUGGUGUAAGAUUUAGUACCAAGACUCGAAGAUGAGCUACCAUCAAGAUUAUGUCUCGACAAUCAAGUAUAGUGUCAACACUUAUGAUUUAUCUGCAAAGGUGCAACAAUGGAGAUUCAAACUAAUGUCGCAUCCUACAAGCAAAAAAGACUACGCUCCAGUUUUUACUCUUACUACUUAUUUUUAUUUCAUGUAGCUACUUGUUCUUGUUUUUGAUUUAGGUUAUUUGCUUCUGCCCUCCCUGUGAUUGCAGAUUUAAUUUAAGCCCAGACCAUGCUGGCAGUGAGUUGGAAUCAGUUAAAAUCGUUACGUUCUCGUUGUCUCUUGCCCACAGCCCUGCUUUGUGUUGUCCUAAUUCAAGUUGCGCCGCCACAAAAUGCUGCUAGUUUAACUGCUGUAAGCUCAACAACAGGAGCACACAGGCGGCCGCUGCAGCUAAGCUCACAUGGAACAUAUGCCCUGUUGCAGCCUCACAGUUUUGCGUCCCAUGUGUUGUUCGGUUGUCCACUGGAGCCAUUCUUUCAUAUGUUGCUCGGUUGCACAGCGCGAGGUAGCAAUGGUAGCUGCGGGUUGAGAGAUGUGGAGAAGAGGGUUCCUCCAGGCUCCAUCCAUGAAUGGUGUGUGUCCAAUGCCUUAGGGUGGCAUGCGGCAAUGUUGGGGACCAGUGAGUAAGAUGGCUGGUGUACAUUCUUUGAAAUAAAGCUGAAGUAAGCCACCACUGUGCCUACUUCGCAGACCAUCUUGGUGUUUCAGCAACAACAACUGCACAUGGUGAGGAACUUAGGAAGCAGACCGCUGCAGCAUACAUCAAAUGCAGCUUGGAGACACAUCAGGUGCAAUCAAUACCAGGAAUUAGGAUUGGUUCUCAUUUGUUUGACCAAAAGUUUGCUGGUAGAUCAGUUUAAGGUACUAUUGUUGGCCUUGCUAGAAUGGCAUGGUUGUCUUCGACACUGCCUUCAAAGGGGUCCUUCAACCUCCAAGGAGAAGGGAACUGAUGUCUGCUAGGGAAAAAAAACUAGGCGAAGCUCUGGAUGCUCGAUCGACCAUGGCAAAGGCACGGGUUGAGCUGCAUCUUGAUGAGAGGAUCGACUAUUUGUGAUGAUUUAUUAUGGUAGACAAUGGAACUAAGAUUUGGUAAAAAAAUGAUAAUAUGAUAGGUGAUUUAUGAUGUACUAUUUUAAAUAACGAUACUAAGCUUUUAUUCCAUAGAUGACAUUUGGUUAUUCUGCAUUCUUUCCUUUACAAAGAUAGAUAUGAUAAGAGAUAAACAUCAUGUACCGGUUAACUUUUUGUAUGCCUAUUGGCAUGCCUUGCUGCCAAGUGCAAAUAGUCUAUAUGAUGCUCAUAAAUAGAGCUUCCCGGUGGGAAGGAUGAGGCGCGCUCAUUGAUACUUUGGUUUUAUAUCCAUUUGUAAUACAUUUUUUCUCUUCCAAGCAUAUAAACUUUAGCAAAUUAGUGUGUGCAAUCAAGUCUCCUAAGUGAACGGUCUUAUUUCACCAUAUCAUCAAGUUUCAGAGCAUAUAAGAUUAGAGUGUGUCAUGCUAUGUGAAAAUCUCUUUGGAGACCUAAUUUCGUAUUUUUCUAUUUUGUCGGUUAGAAAACCAGUUUCCUGAGUUGUUAGUCUGAGUAUUCGAAUUGAUCCGCAGAGUUCAGGGCUUCUGGAUGGAAGAGUUUCCUACAACCUCAAAAUCUUAGUACUCUCUACCUAGACUUCAUAAUACUGCCUGACUUUUUCUGAAGAAUUGUUGAAGUAUGGGUUGUUCGUGCAUUUGCAGUGUUGGAGGUGUUAGUGCAAGAUUGUAGGGUUGGAAAGUAUAGCAAAACGUUAGUUGGUGUAGGGACUUGGUGAAGCCAUCAGACGACUGUGUCUGCUUCCCCGAUGGUUUUGACUUCUGAUGCAUAUUACUUGAUGAUUUAGUCUUUGUGGCAGCUUUCAGUUUGAACUGGCAUUCAGUGGCUUCAUCCUCUUUGGUGCAGCUUGGAGUUAGUGUGCACAUCUGGAUCUUUUAACUUUCCUGAAGCAUAUUACUUGGUUAAUUGGUUUAUGGCGCCUGCUAACUUGCAUGCGAUUUUGAUGGAACCUGAUCUCAUUUUUUGCUCCCAGUGAAUAUACAAAAGGCUAGAAGUAAAUGAUGGAAGAUCCUUUGGUCUCACACGGGGGUCGUACUCAACGUUUGUAUAAUAGAUAAUCAAAUUUUGGCCUUCAGCUUGCAAAUUUAUCACCUUACAGGAGAAGUAAAGUGGGAUCUGGAUCAUGGGAUCUUCAACUGCAUCUGCUUGGUUUGCUGGGGAACUUCCUAGUUUUAAUUUGAUUGACAACUAGCAAAACAGUCCAGCUAAUUUGAUGAUUAAUUCCAGCUGAUUGUACACUUUCAACUCAAGUUACAUUGUGACAUAUGCCCAAGCAUCUGUUCACGCAUCCUACGGUCCUCUGGCUGUUCAGUGGCUAAUUUGAUCACUAUUAACUGUGAAAUGUGGAUUACGGAAUCUUCAGCUACAUAGUUUGCUGGGGUACUUCAUAGUUUUAAUUUAAUUGACAACAAGUAAAGCUUCUCGUUUGAUAUUUCCUGCCGAUUGCUCCAUACAUCCUGGAUUUUUAAGGCGCAAAGUAUCCUGAAUUCACCAUGUAACCUUUAA